GGGCCAUAGUUUAAACUAAGAGAAAUUUGGGCCAUAUGUAAAGAAUACUCCCUUAAACUUGGGUCAAAUUUUAAAUUAAGAGGCCCAUUAGUCCAUCUCAAGAAAGAAUCUUUCUCGACUCUUAAAAAUCUGACCGGCGGAGAUGGCUUUGAGUUGGACCAGUCGGAGAAUUAGGGUUUCAACGGGGACUCGCUAGUCAUCCACUCUCCGAGCCUUUCUUCUCCCCGCCCAAAAUCCCGUCGAAAGUUAUCUUCUUCAACAUUGAUUUGCCUCAUUCUCUGCCCAUUUUCACGUUACUGCUUCGUUUAGCUGUUGUUUCGCUAACUCUAACAGAACACCUGUUGUUUGCCCUACAGCACGAGCAUCAAUGGGAUCUCCUGAAAAAGCUACGUAUGCUCAAAUUCUCAGCCGCCCACGACCAAAUAUUCCCCCCAUCCAACCACCAGAGAAAAAGAAGGACCUUCAAUCUGAAGCCGAAGUGGAUCCACGUUUCGAAGUACCUUUUCUAUGGGACUUCGAGAAUUCCCCAAUCAGGUCUGAUCAAGUGGCCCAGUUAGAGGCAAACAUCAAUUCGUCUCUAAAAACAUUACAUCCUAAGUUACAUUUGGCAAAACGAAAGUACGGAGCUGGUAACACGAAUCUGGAUUUUGUUUACGAUCAUGAAGACGAACUUGAUGAUAUGGGUUUUCAUAUGGAAGAUUCUGUUAUAACCGGUCGUUAUUGCUCUGUCUGUAACGGUGACCGCGAAGUGGGGGAUUUUGGAGAUUACUACAUGCGACUUAGGGAGGUAGCUGAUCGUAUGAUCCUCCAACAACUCCAACGCCACGUACUCAACGGUUCACCAUCAAACUUUGUCCUUCUCGUUUCGAGAGAUGCCGAUUUUAAACUCUCCAUGGAGUUCCUGAAAGCAAAAAAUUACAUUGUGUUCUUAGCCAUACUCGGCAAGACGAAUGAAGCAUUUACUCGCACUGGAAACUACGUGUGGGAUUGGGGGAAGAUGCCAGAUGGAAACGCAAGACCAAUAUGGCCGCCAGUGAAUAAGAAGAAGUGAAUUAGCGGGAAAAUGUGUUUGGUAUCAGUUUUAAUACUAGGAAAAUGUGUUAGAUUUUGCAGGUCAACUAUUAUUUCAUCAUUGUUAGUAUCUUGGGGGUACUCAAGUUAUUAUUACUGGCUCUGAUUGUAAGUGGAUUGUCUUUGGAUAUUCUUUUUGUGCUACUUUCCUAUGUAGUUCAUUUCGUUCCUUUGCCUAAG